rnacentral:misc_RNA from 1 species
GAUGAAGAACGUAGCGAAAUGCGAUAAGUAAUGUGAAUUGCAGAAUUUAGUGAAUCAUCGAAUCUUUGAACGCACAUUGCGCCCGCCAGUAUUCUGGCGGGCAUGCCUGUUCGAGCGUCAUUUCAACCAUCAAGCCCCCGGGCUUGUGUUGGGGACCUGCGGCUGCCGCAGGCCCUGAAAAGCAGUGGCGGGCUCGCUGUCACACCGAGCGUAGUAGAUUUUAUCUCGCUCUGGGCGUGCUGCGGGUUCCGGCCGUUAAACCACCCUUUUAACCCAAGGUUGACCUCGGAUCAGGUAGGAAGACCCGCUGAACUUAAGCAUAUCAAUGAGGA